rnacentral:rRNA from 1 species
GUCUACGGCCAUGCCACCCUGAAUGAGACCAAUCCUGUCUGAUCACAGAAGCUAAGCAGGGUUGGGCCUGGUUAGUACUUGGAUGGGAGACCACCUAGGAAGACCAGGUGCUGUAGGCA